rnacentral:rRNA from 1 species
GGAUGAACGCUAGCGAUAGGCUUAACACAUGCAAGUCGAGGGGCAGCACAAGGUAGCUUGCUAUCUGGGUGGCGACCGGCGCACGGGUGCGUAACGCGUAUGCAACUUGCCCUAUACAGGAGGAUAACCCGUCGAAAGACGGACUAAUACUGCGUAUGCUCACAACUUGGCAUCAAGUGGUGAGGAAAGAAAUUCGGUAUAGGAUAGGCAUGCGUCCCAUUAGCUUGUUGGUGAGGUAACGGCUCACCAAGGCAACGAUGGGUAGGGGAACUGAGAGGUUUAUCCCCCACACUGGUACUGAGACACGGACCAGACUCCUACGGGAGGCAGCAGUGAGGAAUAUUGGUCAAUGGGCGCGAGCCUGAACCAGCCAAGUCGCGUGAAGGAUGACUGUCUUAUGGAUUGUAAACUUCUUUUAUACGGGAAUAACAAGAGUCACGUGUGACUCCCUGCAUGUACCGUAUGGAUAAGCAUCGGCUAACUCCGUG